AUUGAACGCUGGCGGCAUGCCUUACACAUGCAAGUCGAACGGUAACAGGUCUUCGGAUGCUGACGAGUGGCGUACGGGUGAGUAAUACAUCGGAACGUGCCCGAUCGUGGGGGAUAACGAGGCGAAAGCUUUGCUAAUACCGCAUAAGAUCUAUGGAUGAAAGCAGGGGACCGCAAGGCCUUGCGCGAACGGAGCGGCCGAUGGCAGAUUAGGUAGUUGGUGGGGUAAAGGCUUACCAAGCCUACGAUCUGUAGCUGGUCUGAGAGGACGACCAGCCACACUGGGACUGAGACACGGCCCAGACUCCUACGGGAGGCAGCAGUGGGGAAUUUUGGACAAUGGGCGCAAGCCUGAUCCAGCCAUGCCGCGUGCAGGAUGAAGGCCUUCGGGUUGUAAACUGCUUUUGUACGGAGCGAAAAGGUCUCCUCUAAUACAGGGGGCUCAUGACGGUACCGUAAGAAUAAGCACCGGCUAACUACGUGCCAGCCGCCGCGGUAA
rnacentral:rRNA from 1 species